AGCGAAGCAACUAGUUUACUUGCGGUGCGAACGAAGAGAGCUAGUCAGGAGUCGAACAGAAGCAUGAGUUGAGUGGUGAGCUAAAGCAGGGUAGCGAAACUAGGAACGGAGUUGGCUUACCGCAUCUACAUGGAUCGGAUCAGUGGGGCUACGGUGUUCGUGGUUGCAGCUUAAAUAAAAUAGAAUAUUAAUCCCAGUAGUGCUUCUUGAAAGCCGGUAACCUGAGGUAUGGUUAAACUAUUAGCACCUCCGGUCAAUCUUAAACUCUUGAUUGCCCCGGAUUCCGGGCCAGAAAAUUGAGUCUCAUAUAUCCCUUUUAUCUUUUAUAUUCUCGGA
rnacentral:misc_RNA from 1 species